CCUCCCGGGUUCAAGCAAUUCUCCUGCCUCAGCCUCCUGACUAACUUUUUAAUUAUUGUUGGUCUUCUUUUGUUGGAGAUUUCAUGGAGAAGCCCAAUCCCAUCUGUAGGAGGUAAGCCAACAAGGUGUACUGCACAAGAAGAAAACAAUGCAGAGCUUUCAGUUUGGCCAAGAAGACAGACUAGGUUCAAGGAGAAGCAGAAGGUGCCAAGAGAGCAAGCAAGGGGACAUCUAGCCUGAGCCGGGGGCCUCUUGAGAAGGUGAUUUUCAGAGGGAUAGCAGAGACACGAGCAGCUAAAGUCCAGCAAACAGGGUGAAAGAAGAUAACAGGCUUUCUGGACUUUGAAAGCAGCCUGAAGGCCGCAGGAACAGAAAGAAGCAACAUGAAUGGUGAAGGAACUGAGGGAAGGCUGGCUUGCCUGGGUCUAGGUCUGGGGAAUAGCAAGCUAGAAUCUGUAGUUGGAGAAGUCAGCAGAGAUCAAGGACCUGGCAAGCCAUGUGAAGGAUUUUGAAUUUUAUUCUGAAUCCAUGAAAAGACUCCCCUUCCAAAAGCGGUGGCUUCUGGAAUUUGCUUCCAAUAAUCCAAGAACACUGGAGAGAGUGGGUGGGGUAUAUGUGAAGCAAAAUUGGUCAUUCAUCAACAAUUGAAUGAAGCUGGGUGAUGUGUACAUGGAUAUUCAUUAUAUUCUCAAUUUUUGUGAAGGUUUUAAAUUUUUCAUCAUUAAAAAAAGGAAAAAAAUCCCUCCACCUACAGUGAAGAGAAAGGACUGUAGAAGGGCGAGAACCAACUAUGAGGGGCCAGCCUUUGCUGUAGGCCAGGUGAGAGAGAAGAUGAAGUUUUGAACUAAGGUGGUAGCAGCAGGAUCUAAGGGAAGUGAGUAGAUUCUAGUGAUGCUGGGAGCUUGAAUAGAUAGAACUUGGUGAUUAGAUGUGAGGGACAGGAAGUGGGAGAUGAAGCUCUCGUGUGAACAAGUGAUGUGCCA